GCACUGCUGACGAGUCCUAAACAAGACGAAACAGAUGUUCAGUGC
rfam:Echinostoma caproni strain Egypt genome assembly, scaffold: ECPE_scaffold0003033